UCCAUUGCGAGGUGGAAUCUAAAGGAAGCCGAAGGCAAAAUCCUGGUCAGAUGCACGAAUUACAUUCAAGGCUGUAUAAAUUGGGUGAGUUUGUCAAACAAAACAAAGCCCAAAACGGUCCGUACGGUGGUGUGAGAGAUCGGUAGAUGAAUUAAUC
rfam:Caloranaerobacter azorensis H53214 contig8, whole genome shotgun sequence.